GUAAGGAGACAUAAGAGGUGUAGAAUAAGUGGGAGAUAUUAGGCUUCGGUUUGAUAUCGCCAAUGAAAUACCACUACUCUUAUUGUUUCCUUAC
rnacentral:ncRNA from 1 species